rnacentral:rRNA from 1 species
UACGGAGGUGGCAAGCGUUACUCGGAAUUAUUGGGUGUAAAGGGCAAGUAGGUGGCUUGGUAAGUGAGAGGUGAAAUACUCCGGCUCAAUCGGAGAACUGCCUUUCAUACUGCCUUGCUUGAGUAUGACAGGGGGAAGUGGAAUUCCAGGUGUAAGGGUGAAAUCUGUAGAUAUCUGGAAGAACACCAGCGGCGAAGGCGACUUCCUGGGUCAUUACUGACACUGAAUUGCGAAAGCUAGGGGAGCAAACAGA